rnacentral:rRNA from 1 species
UGGAUAACAGGUUGAGAUUCCUGUACUGGUUAAACUUGUUUGAACAAUGGAGGGACGCAGGAGGCUAUCGAUGCGUACUGUUGGAUAUGUACGUUCAAGCAAUAAGUCUGUAGAUGAGUCAAAUGCUUAUCUACUUAAGGACAAGUUGUGAUGAGGAGCGAAAUUUAGUAGCGAAGUGAGAGACGUCACACUGCCAAGAAAAGCUUCUAGUUAGAGUUUAAU